rnacentral:misc_RNA from 1 species
AGAAUGGUGCAUGAAGGACAUUAUUAUAGAGUUUACAUUGAGCAGGAAAAUUUAUAAAAAAAAUUCAUUAUAAAUUGUAGCAUUAGACUGCAAAUACGUCCUGUCUGCUUUUUUCAUGGUUUCCAAAAUGAGUGACAAAUGAACAUUUAUUAAGAGGAUUUAGUGCCAAUGGAAUUGCAGGUUCAACUCAAAAGCCUGAAG